UACGGAGGGUGCAAACGUUGCUCGGAAUCAUUGGGCGUAAAGCGCACGUAGGCGGCUUAUCAAGUCGGGUGUGAAAGCCCUCGGCUCAACCGAGGAAGUGCAUUCGAAACUGACAAGCUUGAAUAUGGGAGAGGGUUGCGGAAUUCCCGGUGUAGAGGUGAAAUUCGUAGAUAUCGGGAGGAACACCAGUGGCGAAGGCGGCAACCUGGACCAAUAUUGACGCUGAGGUGCGAAAGCGUGGGGAGCAAACAGGAUUGAGAU
rnacentral:rRNA from 1 species